UACCAGCACCCCGAGUGGUCGGGACGAUUAUUGGGCCUAAAGCAUCCGUAGCCGGUCCUACAAGUCUUCCGUUAAAUCCGCCUGCUUAACAGAUGGGCUGCGGAAGAUACUAUAGGGCUAGGAGGCGGGAGAGGCAAGCGGUACUCAGUGGGUAGGGGUAAAAUCCUCUGAUCCAUUGAAGACCACCAGUGGCGAAGGCGGCUUGCCAGAACGCGCUCGACGGUGAGGGAUGAUAGCUGGGGGAGCAAACCGG
rnacentral:rRNA from 1 species